NGCAGCUGACGAGUCCCGAAUAGAAGGAAACGCGCGUCACACUGGAU
rnacentral:hammerhead_ribozyme from 1 species